CGAGCCGGCCGGGUGAUCGCGGCAGUUAACGGAACCGGACGCCUCUUUUACAGAGUGUGUCCAGGCCGCUGUCGAGGAAAGUCCGGACUCCACUGGGCAUGGUGGUUGCUAACAGCAACCCAGGGUGACCUGCGGGAUUGCUAACAGCAACCCAGGGUGACCUGCGGGAAUAGUGCCACAGAAAAUAGACCGCCGGGCGCACAGCCGAUGUCUUUGACGUAAAGCUGUGGAGAUCCGGUGAGGGUGAAAAGGUGCGGUAAGAGCGCACCAGCGGGGCAAGUGAUUGCACCGGCUAGGUAAACCCCACCAGGAGCAAGGCAAAAUCGCGCAUGCUUCGUCGUGCGCGUGCGCGAGUGUUUGAGGGCUGCCCGUCCGAUACUCGCGGGUGUGCUGCUUCAGGCUGUCAGCAAUGGCAGACCGAGAUGGAUGAUCGCCACCCGGCGCUUUCCGAAAGGAGCGCCGAGGGACAGAAUCCGGCUCAUAGGCCGACUCGUUCA
rnacentral:RNase_P_RNA from 1 species